rnacentral:rRNA from 1 species
UACGAGGGGGGCGAGCGUUGUUCGGAAUUAUUGGGCGUAAAGGGUGCGUAGGCGGUUUGAUAAGUCAUCUGUGAAAUCUCUGGGCUCAACCCAGAGUCUGCAGGCGAAACUGUCGGGCUUGAGUAUGGGAGAGGUGAGUGGAAUUUCCGGUGUAGCGGUGAAAUGCGUAGAUAUCGGAAGGAACACCUGUGGCGAAAAGCGGCUCACUGGACCAUUACUGACGCUGAUGCACGAAAGCUAGGGG